CAUUAUGUUUUUUUAUUAUAA
rnacentral:tRNA from 1 species